GAUGAACGCUGGCGGCGUGCUUAACACAUGCAAGUCGAACGGAAAGGCCCUGCUUUUGCUGGGUGCACGAGUGCCGAACGGGGGAGUAACACGUGUGUAACCUGCCCCUGACUGUGUGAUAUCUUCAGGAAACUCGGGAUAAUACCGGAGAUGAUCUCCUGCUGCAUGGGGGUGGAUGGUAAGAUUCGGCGUUUGGGGCUGGUCUCGCGGGUUAUCAGCUUGUUGGUGGGGUAGGGGCUUACCAAGGGUUUGACGGGUAGCCGGCCUGGGAGGGGGACCGGGCACCUUGGGACUGCGGUACGGACCAGUAGGCUAUGGGCGGCAGCAGUGGGGAAUAUUGCACAGUGGGCGGACGCCUGAUGCAGCAACGUCGCGUGCGUGAUGCCGGCUUUCGGGUUAUAAACCGCUUUCGCAGGUGACGAAGCGUGCGUGACGGUAAUGGGUAAAGAAGCCACGGCUAACUACGUG
rnacentral:rRNA from 1 species